UACGGAGGGAGAAAGAGAUAAGAGGAAUCACUGGGCGUAAAGCGUGCGUAGGCGGUUUGUUUAGUCAGAUGUGAAAGCCCCGGGCUCAACCUGGGAACUGCAUUUGAUACUGGCAGACUAGAGUAUGGUAGAGGGGGGUAGAAUUCCUGGUGUAGCGGUGAAAUGCGUAGAUAUCAGGAGGAAUACCAGUGGCGAAGGCGACCCCCUGGGCCAAUACUGACGCUGAGGUACGAAAGCGUGGGGAGCGAACAGG
rnacentral:rRNA from 1 species